CAGGAGAGCCCACGUGACCGGGUACCAGCUGCCACGUUUUGCCGCCGGGGCCGCAUGUUAAGGGGUCCAUAGGGUGGCCUAUGCUGUCAGGGCCAUCCGAUGUAUAUGGAUUGUAAGGGGGCCCGGUCAGCGCUGGGAGCUUUAACAGUGCGACCGGGCCCUCUGUGAUGACAUCACUGCUGGGAGGAAGUGACUCCCCGGUCACUCCUCCUAGCAGAGACUCAUCAGGCUGAGCCACCAC